CUCAAGUGACGCCAAACAGCUUUGUGUUCUCUAAUGCCCUUGUGUGUGUCAGCUGCCACUCCACGGCCUGACGCCACGGUGACUGUGUCGCCGUCUGAGGGGAUUAGUGAGUCAGUCAAACGCCUUUGAUCAACAAACGCGCUUUAACAGGACAAGACACUCCACUCCACUGAAGCUAAUUAUCUUGAGUGAGCUAUCAGGCCAAUGACAAAGGUAGUGCCAAAGGCAGUCCAGACAGUUUCCAUACAAUGCUUAUCACUGUUUUUACACAGAUAACAUACUGUUAAAGGUUAGAGCACAGACUGACAGCAUUGGUGCUGGACUGUGAACACAGGCCUUUGAGUUAUGAUUCUGUGUCUACAAAAACACUCUUUAUAAGAUCAGGACAAGACACAGGCAUUUCUGUGUCGACAAAAAGACUCUUUAUAAGAUCAGGACAAGACACAGACGUUUAAAUAGAUUUCACUUAGGAGAGAUGACAGUCAGACUUUAACACUUCUGAUCAAUCAUGCAACUGUCAGGAUCUGAUCUGGAGUCCAGAUUGUUGAAAAUCAUGUUUAUUCACUAAUUUGCUUCAUCUGCAAAUCUUAUUAUAUUCAAACAUUUCAAACGCACAUUUCUGGAUGCAUACUUUAAUAGGAUAUGGACUGAGUUCACUCAUUGUUAACUUGAUAAUAUCCUAACAGCCUCUUUCUCCUCAUGCUCAUUCUGUCCCUCUGCUUUACUAACACACACCUGGUCCUCCUGCCACUACACUCCAUGGCAGUACGACACACUUUUCUUUACCUGUGUUUACAUGAUGGAUGUUCUGCUGUAGCACAUGUGAAGUUGUAGCAGUCCCCUUUUUUUGGCAACUCCCAAACCUUGUUGCACAGUAAUCCAAGCUCAA